AUCAAGACUUGAAAUAAGGGAAUGCUAACAGCAUCCCAAGAUGAAUUCUCUGUCCUGUACACAAAAGAGACAAAAAAAACUCAGUCAGAUCAAGGAAGCCGAUUGAUGAGUCAUUUGUCGUUUGCGCUGUGUUUUUCCCUCCUUCAACAAGGAAGGAAAGAAACAAAGAAGCAAAGAAACAUAUGAAAUCCAAAAUUUCCGAACAUUAAGCAGCAAAUUCACAUGGUGAUGGUAUGAAGAAAAGAAUGAUGAACGUGUUCAGUGCUUAUUAGGACUUAUUCUUCUGGUUUCUGCUAUUGUACACAAG